rnacentral:rRNA from 1 species
GAUGAAAGCUGGCGGCGUGCCUAAUACAUGCAAGUCGAACGAAGAUCUAGCUUGCUAGAUCUUAGUGGCGAACGGGUGAGUAAUACAUAAAUAAUCUGCCCAUAUGACUGGGAUAACUAUUGGAAACGAUAGCUAAUACCGGAUAGGUUGAUUGGAGGCAUCUCUGAUUAAUUAAAGUAGGAUUUCUACACAAAUGGAUGAGUUUAUGGCGCAUUAGUUAGUUGGUGGGGUAACGGCCUACCAAGACGAUGAUGCGUAGCCGACCUGAGAGGGUGACCGGCCACCCUGGGACGGAGACACGGCCCAGACUCCUACGGGAGGCAGCAGUAGGGAAUUUUCGGCAAUGGGCGCAAGCCUGACCGAGCAACGCCGCGUGAGUGAUUAAGGCCUUCGGGUUGUAAAGCUCUGUUGUAAGGGAAGAACAUUCAGGAUAGGAAAUGAUCUUGAACUGACGGUACCUUACCAGAAAGCCACGGCUAACUACGUGCCAGCAGCCGCCGCUGUAA